rnacentral:rRNA from 1 species
GACGAACGCUGGCGGCGUGCUUAACACAUGCAAGUCGAACGGAAAGGCCCUGCUUUUGUGGGGUGCUCGAGUGGCGCACGGGUGAGUACCACGUGAGUAACCUGCCCUUGACUUUGGGAUAACUUCAGGAAACUGGGGCUAAUACCGGAUAGGAGCUCCUGCUGCAUGGUGGGCGUUGGAAAGUUUCGGUGGUUGGGGAUGGACUCGCGGGUUAUCAGCUUGUUGGUGGGGUAGUGGCUUACGAAGGCUUUGACGGGUAGCCGGCCUGAGAGGGUGACCGGGCACAUGGGGACUGAGAGACGGCGCAGUCGCCUACGGGAGGCAGCAGGCGGGAAUAUUGCAGAAUGGGCGGAAGCCUGAUGCAGCAACCCCGCGUGCGGGAUGACGGGCUUCGGGUUGUAAACCGCUUUCGCCUGUGACGAAGCGUGAGUGACGGUAAUGGGUAAAGAAGCACCGGCUAACUACGUG